CGGAGUACUUCUAGCUUUUUCUAUCUGUUGGUACUUUGCGUGGCACAUGAUCAUCACAAAAAAGAAAACAAUCAUUAAGAGUGAUGCUGAAUAUUGACAUGACAAUAUAGUUAUCUGAUAUGAGGCAAGACACAGCUUCUAGAAAUAUUUAGCCCUACAUAAGCUAUAUAACAUUGUUAGCCCAGAUUCAACGUUGGACACAGUCAUAAGUCAUAGAUUAAUUCAUAAAUGAUUUUUUUUAUGACAUAGAUCACUUUACUGACACUACACACACUUAUCCUUGAUCAAACCAACUAUUUUAUUUGUACCAUUCAUUGACCCCAUGCUGACAUGGACAUGAUCUGCCAAUAGCACACCAUAAAAUUUUUUAAAUUAAGAUAUACAAACUUGUUCCUAUGAACAGUAUAUACAUAUAUAUUCCUUCUUGUUCAAACAAAAAAAAAAAAAAAAUACCAGAUACAACAUAUAAUUUAAGUGUAGAGUCAUUUAUUUGAAAAGUAUGUCUUCAAAUCUGUGCCUACAUGCAGUUGUUAACUUGUCAAUCUACCAGUCUAGUUUUUAUGUAUUUAACUUGCUGGAAAAGAUGUUUUGAAAAUUUUACUUAGCCAUGGUAUUUUGACCCUCUGCAGUAUAUUGAACCCCCUACUAUAGACCUCUCAUGUCACAAAUUCUAGCUAUUCUAACUCCUUACAUAGUAAUAAUAUUCCAAUAAGUUUAACAUGAUGGAAAAGAUGUUUUGAAAAUUUUACCUAUAGCCAUGGUAUUUUGACCCAGCUGCGGUAUAUUGAACCCCCUACUAAAAACCUCAGAUUAAAAAAAAUGAUAACCAACAAAUUGUUAAUUAGAUUAUCUGCAGUACUAUUUAUAAAAAACAGGGGGGUCAAAAUACCAUAUGCAAAAAAUGACCGCAUGGUAUUUUGACCUCGGGUUCACUUUUUUGGAGGUUCAAAAUACCAUAUGACACCUGGUAUGUCCUUGUAAAAAGUUUGGCCUCAAAUCGAAUGUCCUCUGAUUCUCUGAUUAAAUUACCCACUAAUAAUGUUUCCCCAAUCCUUUUGCUAGAAGGUUUAAUAAUGAGUACAUGGAGUAUCUAAUAAUCUUUCAAUGUACAUGAUGUCAGAAACCUAAUAGUAAGGAUUGUCAGGAGAUUAAAAGGAUGUUAUUAUAUAUACAUGUACAAGCAUGAUAUACACCUAAAACAGGACUUUAUUACCCUAUCAUGACUUCCUUUUUUCCUCAUGCUUGAUAUGAUGUAUCACUCAUCUAUAAUAGUUUCCUGCUUUGCCAUCAUUUUCCACAAUGACGUCUUAUACUUGAUGAUGCCUUGUUGAUUUUGACGUCUAUACUUUUUUGAAAAGGACAUAGAUUUGGGAUGAAUCUGACACAAUGUAAAAAUGAACAUAGAUUUGAGGACUUUAUACAUAGACAUUAAUGAACACUGCUCACAAUAAAUUAUCUGACCUGUCCAGUCUUAAAUAAACAAGAGAAAACAAAACAAAAUUCAAGGAUUUCUAUCUUAACAUAUGAAGUACCUGGUAUUUUCUUAUAAGUUUUUUAAACACAAUACAAUGCUACAGGUUUGUUAAAGUUUGCUUUUAUUUUAUUUUACAGAUUUAAGAACAAAUGAGGUGUGGAUGAUGAGAUUUAGACAAAGACUGGCUUGGUUAGUGAUAGUGUUUUUUCUAGCAGCAACAUGUGCUCUUGUGUACUAUAUUUUUGAGAUAAAUGAACAUUUCAAUAAAUUUGCCAUUGACCAUGUUGAAAAAUUCCAUACAAACUCAGGAACAGAAGAUACACAUGGAUUGUGGCAUCACAUAAUUGAUAUACCUGCUUUUGUCUUCUUCAUCAUAUUUAUCAUGGCAUAUCUACAAAUUUUCUUCAUGAUUCUGGCUUGUACCAGAACAGAACCAAAGCACAGUUUUGCAUACAUUUGGCCAAUUUUUCUUUCUACAAAGGUCAAGUCUUUAGUAUCAAAUUGUUCAUUAAGAAUUGAAGGAUCAAAGAAAUCUCAUGACUCUACAAAUGGUUAUAUUACUAUUGAUACAUGAAUUAUGUUAAUAAAUAA
rnacentral:lncRNA from 1 species